rnacentral:rRNA from 1 species
GACGAACGCUGGCGGCGUGCUUAACACAUGCAAGUCGAGCGGAAAGGCCCUUUCGGGGGUACUCGAGCGGCGAACGGGUGAGUAACACGUGAGUAAUCUGCCCUUGGCUUUGGGAUAACCACCGGAAACGGUGGCUAAUACCGGAUAUGACGGGCUCCGGCAUCGGGGUUCGUGGAAAGUUUUUUCGGCCAGGGAUGUGCUCGCGGCCUAUCAGCUUGUUGGUGGGGUAAUGGCCUACCAAGGCUUCGACGGGUAGCCGGCCUGAGAGGGUGACCGGCCACACUGGGACUGAGACACGGCCCAGACUCCUACGGGAGGCAGCAGUGGGGAAUAUUGGACAAUGGGCGGAAGCCUGAUCCAGCAACGCCGCGUGAGGGAUGACGGCCUCGGU